rnacentral:rRNA from 1 species
GAUGAACGCUGGCGGCGUGCCUAAUACAUGCAAGUCGAGCGAACAGACGAGGAGCUUGCUCCUCUGACGUUAGCGGCGGACGGGUGAGUAACACGUGGAUAACCUACCUAUAAGACUGGGAUAACUUCGGGAAACCGGAGCUAAUACCGGAUAAUAUAUUGAACCGCAUGGUUCAAUAGUGAAAGACGGUUUUGCUGUCACUUAUAGAUGGAUCCGCGCCGCAUUAGCUAGUUGGUAAGGUAACGGCUUACCAAGGCAACGAUGCGUAGCCGACCUGAGAGGGUGAUCGGCCAAACUGGAACUGAGACACGGUCCAGACUCCUACGGGAGGCAGCAGUAGGGAAUCUUCCGCAAUGGGCGAAGGCCUGACGGAGCAACGCCGCGUGAGUGAUGAAGGUCUUCGGAUCGUAAAACUCUGUUAUUAGGGAAGAACAAAUGUGUAAGUAACUAUGCACGUCUUGACGGUACCUAAUCAGAAAGCCACGGCUAACUACGUG